GUGAUUAUUAUAAUGACGAUGAUGAUGGUGAAAAUGAAUUCCCGUCGCAGGGUAGAUUUAGCGGGAGGGAAGAAGAGAAGAAUUAUGACAAAGAUCCUGAAUUUGCUGAGAUUCUUGGGAGUUGUCUUGAUGACCCACAAAAAGCUCAAAGUAAAAUGGAGGAGAGAUUGAGGAGGAAAAGAAACAAGGUUUUGCACACAAAGACGGGUUCAGCUAUACCUAUGAAGGUCACAUUCAACAAAUUUGAUUUCUCAAACUCAUACAUAUGGUUUGAGUUCUACAAUGCUCCACUGGAAAAAGAUAUCACCUUAAUUUGUGAUGCAAUACGGGCAUGGCACAUAAUUGGACGCC
rnacentral:misc_RNA from 1 species